UGGGGAAUAUUGGACAAUGGGCGCAAGCCUGAUCCAGCAAUGCCGCGUGUGUGAAGAAGGCCCUCGGGUUGUAAAGCACUUUUAUCAGGAGCGAAAUCUGCAAGGCUAAUACCCUUGUAGUCUGACGGUACCUGAGGAAUAAGCACCGGCUAACUCCGUGCCAGCAGCCGCGGUAAUACGGAGGGUGCAAGCGUUAAUCGGAAUUACUGGGCGUAAAGCGUGUGUAGGCGGUUUGUUAAGUCUGUUGUGAAAGCCCCGGGCUCAACCUGGGAAUGGCAAUGGAUACUGGCAAGCUAGAGUGUGAUAGAGGAUGGUGGAAUUCCCGGUGUAGCGGUGAAAUGCGUAGAGAUCGGGAGGAACAUCAGUGGCGAAGGCGGCCAUCUGGAUCAACACUGACGCUGAGACACGAAAGCGUGGGGGAGCAAAACAGGAUUAGAUACCCUGGUAGUCCACGCCCUAAACGAUGCGAACUGGAUGUUGGUCUCAACUCGGAGAUCAGUGUCGAAGCUAACGCGUUAAGUUCGCCGCCUGGGGAGUACGGUCGCAAGACUGAAACUUAAAUGAAUUGACGGGGUCAUAGCUGUUUCCUG
rnacentral:rRNA from 1 species